rnacentral:misc_RNA from 1 species
AAAGUCGUAACAAGGUUUCCGUAGGUGAACCUGCGGAAGGAUCAUUACCGUGGGGCUUCGGCCCCAUUGAGAUAGCACCCUUUGUUUAUGAGUACCCUUGUUUCCUCGGCGGGCUUGCCCGCCAUGAGGACAUUUCAAACCCUUUUGUAGUAGCAGUAACUUCAGUUAAUAAUAAAUAUUAAAACUUUCAACAACGGAUCUCUUGGUUCUG